rnacentral:rRNA from 1 species
UACGUAGGGGGCUAGCGUUGUCCGGAAUCAUUGGGCGUAAAGCGCGUGUAGGCGGUCCGGUAAGUCCGCUGUGAAAGUCGAGGGCUCAACCCUCGAAUGCCGGUGGAUACUGUCGGGCUUGAGUACGGGAGAGGCGAGUGGAAUUCCUGGUGUAGCGGUGAAAUGCGUAGAUAUCUGGAGGAACACCGGUGGCGAAGGCGGCAUCCUGGACCGAGAUUGACGCUGAUGCGCGAAAGCCAGGGGAGCAAACGGG